rnacentral:rRNA from 1 species
GAAUCUUGCGCAAUGGGCGAAAGCCUGACGCAGCGACGCCGCGUGAGGGAUGAAGCUUCUCGGAGUGUAAACCUCUUUCGACCCGGACGAAUACCCGCAAGGGUUUGACGGUACGGGGGGAAGAAGCCCCGGCUAACUACGUUCCCGCAGCCGCGGUAAACCGUAGGGGGCCAGCGUUGCUCGGAAUUACUGGGCGUAAAGGGUCUGUAGGCGGUGCGGUAAGUCCGGAGUGAAAUCUCCAGGCUCAACUUGGAGGCUGCUUCGGAAACUGCCGUGCUCGAGUGUGGGAGAGGCGAGUGGAAUUGCAGGUGUAGCGGUGAAAUGCGUAGAUAUCUGCAGGAACACCAGUGGCGAAAGCGAUUCGCUGGACCACAACUGACGCUGAGAGACGAAAGCUAGGGGAGCAAACAGG